GACGAACGCUGGCGGCGUGCUUAACACAUGCAAGUCGAACGGAAAGGCCCUGCUUUUGUGGGGUGCUCGAGUGGCGAACGGGUGAGUAACACGUGAGUAACCUGCCCUUGACUUUGGGAUAACUUCAGGAAACUGGGGCUAAUACCGGAUAGGAGCUCCUGCUGCAUGGUGGGGGUUGGAACGUUUCGGCGGUUGGGGAUGGACUCGCGGCUUAUCAGCUUGUUGGUGGGGUAGUGGCUUACCAAGGCUUUGACGGGUAGCCGGCCUGAGAGGGUGACCGGCCACAUUGGGACUGAGAUACGGCCCAGACUCCUACGGGAGGCAGCAGUGGGGAACAUUGCACAAUGGGCGGAAGCCUGAUGCAGCAACGCCGCGUGCGGGAUGACGGCCUUCGGGUUGUAAACCGCUUUCGCCUGUGACGAAGCGUGAGUGACGGUAAUGGGUAAAGAAGCACCGGCUAACUACGUG
rnacentral:rRNA from 1 species